rnacentral:lncRNA from 1 species
CUGGAGGACUGUGGGUAUUAGGUGUCCAAGAAGAAAGCUCAGAUCUGCCGACGGCAGGUACCUUACUUGGGAUUUUCUAUACGACAGGGGUCCGAACGCAGCCCGGGAUCAGAAAGAAAGCAGGUCGUUUGCAAUCUACCGGAGCCUAAGGGCAGAAGGCAGGACCGUGGGAACAAUAUGCCAGGGGGAUUUCCACUUUCUGCCAUAUAUGUAGUCACAUCACCCACUCUGCUUUGGAAUAUUAUUAAGGACCAUCUAACACGAGGGUGUAUACGUCCUGCAAUACUACGAGUAAUAUCAACUUCUUGGCCUCUGAAUAUGAGGAAGAAUAUCACAGGGUGGGUGUACACCUCGUGCUCUAUUAUGCGGAGUCAUAUCUGUCUAUUAUGGGGAGUAAUAUCAUUCUCUCCCUUUCAGGAUAUUAAUAACAAUUUCACAGGCUGGGUGAACACAGCCGGCAAUGCUGAAAUUAUUAUCAUCCUCUCCCCAUCUUCCCCUCCUGGCUCUUAGGACCCCCAUCGCAGGGGGCUGAGGCACCCCCCGCGAGGCGGGGACUGAGUGCCAGCCCCUCUUCCCUAGCCCCUUCGUCAGGGCUGAGAGAAUUUUGAGCGCUAGCCGUCUCUCGAUCGCUGGCUAAUAAAGAACUCCUGAAUUAGU